GCUAAGUCGGGAAUGGAUAAACGCUGAAAGCAUCUAAGCGUGAAGCCAACCUCAAGAUGAGAUUUCCCAUAGCGUAAGCUAGUAAGAUCCCUUGAAGAAUACAAGGUUGAUAGGUCGGGGGUGUAAGCAUGGUAACAUGUUCAGCUGACCGAUACUAAUAGAUCGAGGGCUUGACCAAAUA
rnacentral:rRNA from 1 species